UCUUCCUCCACACGGCGGCCACCAUCCUCACCUAGGGAUGGCAUCCUCCUCUUCCUCCAGACACCCUGGCGCCUGCGAAGGCACCUAUCGACGCAACAUACCCUCUCUCUCCCCCUAGCGGGUUAGCGGCGCGGUGGAGGAGCCCGGAGGAAUCCUCUCCUCACCGGAACGGAUGGCCGUGCAGAGGAGGAUCUUAGGGCGACCUUCCAAGACGUUCUAAAGAGCCGGCAGCAUCGCGCUCACCGUCGAGCACCGGAGGCAGAGGGAGGCGUAUUUUCCGGCCGCUUCCCUGCACCUCGAGCGGCUGUGACCACCCAGCAAUUCUUCGCAUCGGUCACGCCGGCGUCGACGCAACAGGCGGUGGUACGUCCUGGUUGGCGCGGCAGGGGAACGCCAAUAGGGCAGGGUAGGGCAAUGGGCCCGGCCGGCAUCCAGGGCGAAGAGCCAGCGCGGGCGUUGCUCCACGAGCUCGCAGAUUUCGGGAUUGGAGUUCAGGUGCCUAGGUGCUUCUGCUUUUGCCGGCGGCCGGCGGCACCAAAGUCAGGGAGUCAGAGUACGGUCGGCCUUGAUGAUUCUACAAACUCUAUCUUGCUGCCUUAGAUACAACUCUCAGCCCUACCGUUCCUCUCUUAGUGCACAACUCAAUUCUGAAUUUUGUAAACAUUUAUAGUUGAAGGUGUGAUUGAGAGAUUUUGGAGACCACUUGCAUGGAAGACCAUGCCAAAUGAAGUUUGGACCUUCAGUAUGCAGAAGAGUGGUGACAAAAACGGAAGAUUGUGAAGCAGGCCCAUAACUGGUCAAAUAGAGAAGGAUAAAGAGCUAUUGGUGCUUUCUGAAUGGUUUCAUAUAAAGGUAAUAGAAUUAUUCAUGCAUGUUUCUGAUUUAUGUUCUUUGUUAUUUCUAUUGUGUGAAAUUAAUCUUAAGAACAUUGAUUGUUCGCACGAAUUAUAGGGUCGCAAACAUCAUCACAUCACAUACCAGAGCAGCAGUGUUUCUAUUUUUUACAUUUACUGACCUGGAGACGGAUCUGGGUGCUAAAGAAUUAGCACGUGCUAUGGAUCUAAAGGUUACUGUAUAUUUGGAAUUGCUCCUUCAUUCUACCCUAGGUCUGGAAGGAUUUGAUGAUACCUCUAAAGAACAUGAUCUUUAAAAGGAUCAUGUGAUUGUCAGUCAGAUUUCCUAUGCACAUUGAUACGCUGUGUACAAAGUUCUCCGCGCUUCAUCAAGCUUUUUGUUGUGCUGAUCAAACUCGGAUGCCAUUUGUCUCGGAAUUCCUAUCAAUGUAAGGUGAUGCUUCGGUUUACUAGGAUCUAGGAGUUUAGGAGCCCAAAUCAGGGGAUUCUCUGCUCACUUGAUUUUAUCGUCAUUGACCGCAAGGUUCUCCGCGCUUCAUCAAGCUUUUUGUUGUGCUGAUCAAACUCGGAUGCCAUUUGUCUCGGAAUUCCUAUCAAUGUAAGGUGAUGCUUCGGUUUACUAGGAUCUAGGAGUUCAGGAGCCCAAAUCAGGGGAUUCUCUGCUCACUUGAUUUUAUCGUCAUUGACCACAAGAGAGGCACAAUGGAAGGUCCAGUCCUGGAAAAAGAGUAGAUCAAUUUAGGGAUCAGCUGUAGGAGGGGUCUAUUUACACCACUAAGAAAUUUGAUUUGUAUGAUCCUAGAAAGAGCUACAGGUCAGUGGAUCAUCCUUUGCGGAUCUGCUUUACUAUGAGGACUACUCUGUCAGAGGUGGUGCCGCCGCCGGAGAAUUUUCCUAUGUAUGCCUAUACUGCUGUCCCGUUUAGCAUGCUGUCAGAUUGCAUUGAUUGGAAUAUACUUAUAUCCGAUUUACAACAGAUCUCGGACGGGCUAACAAAGUCCCCGAUGUUUUGCCUCCUUCUGUUGGUAAUACAAAGAGCCAAAAAAGACAAAUUUAUAUCACAGAUGGCAGCGAGCAUGCUAUUGUUACUUUGUGGGGAGAGAUGCUGAUGGACUAAUGGAGGCAUCAAAUGAAGAACCUGCCAUCGUGUUAUUUGUUGGCAUGACUGUCAGUCCAAGCAUCUGCCAUCGCACGUCGAAUUACACAGCGGAAACCAAAGUCAUACGGAGCUGACAGUGUCGACAAUCGCGGAAAUAGCGACAUUCGAACCAAAUUUCGAGCGGUUAAUUCUGGUUCAACGGAUCCUCAUGCCGGCAAAUUCGCGAACUUUAUUUGUUUGGGCCUCGCGGAGAGGUUGUCUUCGGAAAAGAAGCAUUACAUCUUGUGUCCAGUGUCAGGGGACGGCUAAUACUGUGCCUCAGGAUUUGCUUGCCAUCGUGGGAAGAGUUCAGCGUUAUUGUCGCUCCUAGACGUGAAUCGCUGGAUGCAUUGCACAGCCACUUUGGAGUACAGAUUGCUGAUCCGAUUUCCGUGACAGUGUUACUCGACGACAGGACAUGGAGGAUUCAGCCACAAGUCAAGAACCCUAAAUGGAAGAAGGGAUUACACUUCACAGAUGAUGACUAGGAUCUUAGACACACAGGAUAUAAAGGACGCAAUAUCUUGGACAUCUUUCUACACACUGCUCUUCUGCAGAUGAAUGCAGCGAGGGAGUUUUGCUAUUGCCCAGUUUCUGUUGUUCAGGGCCUAUAUGUUUGGACCCUCAGUACACUUCCAUGUUUAUGUAUCUACGUCAACCACCCGUUUAGGCUAUGUGUUUAGGUUGUAUGUUCUGUUUUGCCUCAUAGAUGUUUUUGGCUUGCUAGAAGCCUUCACGAUUUGUCAGUUGCCGAUUCUAAUGUAUUAUAUCUUUUCCCGC